rnacentral:piRNA from 1 species
UAGUUCAGAACUUCUUUCUCCCUUAGUGAA